UACGUAGGGGGCAAGCGUUGUCCGGAAUCAUUGGGCGUAAAGCACGUGUAGGCGGCUUGGUAAGUCUGGUGUGAAACCUCGGGGCUCAACCCCGAGCCUGCACUGGAUACUGCCUCGCUCGAGUCCGGGAGGGGAGAGCGGAAUUCCUAGUGUAGCGGUGAAAUGCGCAGAUAUUAGGAAGAACACCGGUGGCGAAGGCGGCUCUCUGGAACGGUACUGACGCUGAGACGCGAAAGCGUGGGGAGCAAACAGG
rnacentral:rRNA from 1 species